rnacentral:sRNA from 3 species
UAUUCUGCCCUACGGGGAAGGAUGAGAAGGUUCGACUCGAGCGUAGCGAGAGAACGUUGCCGAAGGCAACGGCCCGAAGGGCGAGGCGCUUUAGCGCCGAGUUAUCCUUCCCCCACCACCA